CAACCAUUACGCCAGCAUCCUAGCCGAAGCGCGGACCUCAGUCCCGGCUGGCCGUAUUACACCCUGGGCUAUAACACCUCCACCGAAGUGGAGGCCACAUUCCCAGAGCCUUUAUCCGGCCGCCGAAACUGAUGCUGGCCUGUCCAAACUGAGUAAACCGGUCAGAAGACCGGCCGAACAGUUUAAACAAGUCUGAUUGCAAGCGCUUCCCUUUCAACAAUUUCACGUGCUUUUUAACUCUCUUUCCAAAGUGCUUUUCAUCUUUCGAUCACUCUACUUGUGCGCUAUCGGUCUCUCGCCAAUAUUUAGCUUUAGAAGAAAUUUACCUCCCAUUUAGAGCUGCAUUCCCAAACAACUCGACUCGUCGAAGGAGAUUUACAUAGGGUGCCAUUUCCUGUCACAUACGGGAUUCUCACCCUCUAUGACGUCCUGUUCCAAGGAACUUAGACAGGCGGCUUCCCCAAAUCAUCCUCUACAAAUUACAAUGCGAACCCGAAGGCUAGCUUUCAAAUUUGAGCUGUUGCCGCUUCACUCGCCGUUACUAGGGC
rnacentral:rRNA from 1 species